CCGAUGCUUCCGAUGCUAGAUUCCUAAGUAUUUCUUGAACAAAGGAAAAACUCAAUUGUACCAAAAAAAAAAAAAAAAAAAAAAACACCAUCAUGAGUUUUGACAAUGAAGAGCAGCGCCUCAGAGAGCCACUUUGAAGAAGGGGAACCUUUACACACUGCUCCAACAACAUGCCAAUGAUUCCAUCAACGGCAUUGGUGAGGUCCAUCAAAAGAUGGGUCCAUGAUAGCCGCUAGACUUAUUAGGGAGGUAGCUAUCAUGGUUGCAGACAUAAGGAACGUCACCUAGUAAAAUAUUGCCAUGCAAUAACUGCUAAGGAAUAUGUAAAAUUAGAGAGGACAUCUAAUUUCCCUAUAUGCAGCCCAGGAAGUACUUUCUUCCAUGACCAUCCACAAGGGAACUAUUAUCAUGGUGAAAAGGAGGUUCAAGGUCCCAGUCAAAUUUUCUCCAAAUUACGAACCUAAAAACUUGUCUCAGACGUCCAUGAGUGUCUUCGACAAGUUGAGCCAUGGAUAGCGUAGAAGUAGGCAAGCUCAACCUCUUCCUGUACUAGGCAACAGGGAUCAUAUUAGACAGACAAAAUGAACCUACAUAUAGCACUUGCCUUACAAUCCUUCUCUAAGGUAUAGGUAGUAGAUGAGGGCAGAACAAGUCAUGAAUCAAGCGGGACCAUCUCAACCACCUCUGAAAACCCAAGUUAAGAGAGACGAAGAUUCUGAUAAACCAUAGAGGUCUUGUAACUUUGAUGAUGAAGAUGACAACUUUUCAUUUUCUCAGGAGAUUAGAGAUGCCCCAGUCCUAAGCCACUUCGUGCUUCCAAAAAUUCCUAAGUAUAAUGGAAGAGGUGAUCAUGUGAAGUACCUAAACAGCUUCAAAAUCCACACGAGCCUAUGGGGUUCCACUCCCACUGUGAGAAGUAGAACCUUCCACUUAACCCUAAGCGGGGUAGCUGAAGUAUUGUAUACUAGAUUUUUGGAGAGAAGUAUUAGAAGUUGGUCAUAUUUCAAGAAGGCUUUCCUCAAGCGCUCUCGAAUAAAAAAGAGAGUGGAGUGCCAAUAUGGCG
rnacentral:lncRNA from 1 species